rnacentral:rRNA from 1 species
CAGCAGCCGCGGGAAAACGAAGGGGGCUAGCGUUGCUCGGAAUUACUGGGCGUAAAGCGCACGUAGGCGGAUAUUUAAGUCAGGGGUGAAAUCCCAGAGCUCAACUCUGGAACUGCCUUUGAUACUGGGUAUCUUGAGUAUGGAAGAGGUGAGUGGAAUUCCGAGUGUAGAGGUGAAAUUCGUAGAUAUUCGGAGGAACACCAGUGGCGAAGGCGGCUCACUGGUCCAUUACUGACGCUGAGGUGCGAAAGCGUGGGGAGCAAACAGGAUUAGAUACCCCGGUAGUCCCUGUCUCUUAUAC